UGUUCUCUAUGCUCCCAUGGAAGAGUACCUAGCACUAUUCCUCGGAUUGAUCUUCUGUAGCACAGAUUGAGAGACUCUGAUGAUCAAUAAAAGACUUUUGUUCAGUCCUUCUGUGCAGCCCGGUGGUUGGGUACCGCCACGGGAUAAUCAACUCACUGCCAGGGGAAACAAGGGCAGGCACGGUGAGACCAAGGCUUGCCUGAUGAGGCUUCUGCCUUUAAAUCCGCAGGAUGAGCUUUUAUGAGCGUGUCUGACGGCGUAGUCGCUGCAGGAAGUCGAGCGAAGGAAGGAAAGCAGGCGGCGAAACGAGGCUGGGGGCAUGAGAAGGAGGCUGGGGGGGGAUAAUUCCUUCUCUGCUGCUGGUCACAGGCCAUUGUUCUGCUUUAAACACCACUUCCACUCUGCAGGAUGUUGCUGCAAUUGGUCCCACCCAUUCCGUGUCAAUACAAAACGGCGACCUGGCAAAAAGGUGGGAAAAUGACCAUUUCUGCCAACUGGACCAAAGGAACUGUGUUGUGCAAAGAGACUUUGUACUUCCUAUUUGAGCACUCAAGUGUUUUUUCUUGUCACUUAAGAGGAUUCGCAACAUUUGAAAACAAGCUUUCACCAGCUAAUCCGUCAGUGAAGGCCAGCGGGGGCAGCAGAUGAUUGACAUGACUGAAAGUGACGAGGCAGCCUGACACACAAGGACAUGGAUUGCAAACCAACAAGCUCUUUGGGGUGGGAUUGAUUCAUCAGUCACAACCGCCCCUUACACGACAAAGCCUUGGGUCGUUCCCAAAACAAAAGGACCUACGCAGGGAACCAUUCAGCCAUGCUAUCAGCUCUUAUCCAGAGUACCACACAGCACACACACUUUGCACACACAGGAAUGCACCAGCAUAAAUUUGAUAAGAUGAACAAUGCUGACCGUCAUGUCUU